ACACGACUACAUUAGAUACCCGGGUAGUCCCAGCUGUAAACUAUGUGCGUUAGGUGUGUCAGUGACCACGUGUCACUGAGGUGCCGAAGGGAAACCGUGAAACGCACCGCCUGGGGAGUACGGUCGCAAGGCUGAAACUUAAAGGAAUUGGCGGGGGAGCACCGCAACGGGAGGAGCGUGCGGUUCAAUUGGAUUCAACGCCGGACAACUCACCAGGAGCGACGGUUACAUGAAGGCCAGGCUGAUGACCUUGCCUGAUUUUCCG
rnacentral:rRNA from 1 species